GGGGUUGUGGCUCAGUGGUAGAGCGCUCACCUAGCAUAUGCGUGGUCCUGGGUUUGAUCCUCAGCACCACA
rnacentral:tRNA from 1 species